GACGAACGCUGGCGGCGUGCUUAACACAUGCAAGUCACGGGGGCUCGCAAGAGCAACCGGCGAACGGGUGCGUAACACGUGAGCAAUCUGCCGAUUUCUGGGGGAUAGCCGGCCCAACGGCCGGGUAAUACCGCAUACGUUCUCGAGGGGGAGUCCCCUUGGGAAGAAACCUCCGGGGGAAAUCGAGGAGCUCGCGGCCUAUCAGCUAGUUGGCGGUGUAAUGGACCACCAAGGCUACGACGGGUAGCUGGUCUGAGAGGAUGGCCAGCCACAUUGGGACUGAGAGACGGCCCAGACUCCUACGGGAGGCAGCAGUGGGGAAUCUUGCGCAAUGGCCGAAAGGCUGACGCAGCGACGCCGCGUGUGGGAUGAAGCAUUUCGGUGUGUAAACCACUGUUGCCCGGGACGAACAUCCUCUUUCGAGAGGACUGACGGUACCGGGUGAGGAAGCACCGGCUAACUCCGUGCCAGCAGCCGCGGUAAUACGGAGGGUGCGAGCGUUGUCCGGAAUCACUGGGCGUAAAGGGCGCGUAGGUGGCCUGUGGAAGUCUGCGGUGAAAGUCCGGCGCUCAACGCCGGAUCGGCCGUGGAUACUCUCGGGCUUGAGCUCACUAGAGGCAGAUGGAAUUCCGGGUGUAGCGGUGGAAUGCGUAGAGAUCCGGAAGAACCACCGGUGGCGAAAGCGGUCUGCUGGGGUGAUGCUGACACUGAUGCGCGACAGCGUGGGGAGCAAACAGGAUUAGAUACCCUGGUAGUCCACGCCGUAAACGAUGGGCACUAGGUGCUUGGGGGAGCGACCCCCUGAGUGCCGUCGCUAACGCAUUAAGUGCCCCGCCUGGGGAGUACGGCCGCAAGGCUGAA
rnacentral:rRNA from 1 species